rnacentral:lncRNA from 1 species
CUCGCUGCCAACUCCUCUCAUUCAAGAGUCUCUUCUGAGUUCAGUGGCCACUGCCUCCCCUAAGGUACUUCAGAAAAAAUACUACUGAAAAGUCCAAGGCAUCAAAUUCCUCAUUCGUGGGAUGUCGUCGUGAUACUGCCUUCUGGAGGUCGAUUACAAUAGUCUGCAUAGCUGAAAUAUGCUGAAUACUCAAUUCCAUGUACGGUGAUGCUGACCAUAGUUGUCCUUGGACCGUGAUGAUAUGUGGGCAGCAUUGUGUGAGCGGAGCCAGCCUCACAGUCGGUGUUUCUUGUGUGUGACAUCCAGAAGCUUGUCAUUGACAGAUGAAGGUGUGGAGAUCAAAGGAGGCUAAGAAGCUGAUAUCACUUCAGCAAGGAAUCCCUCUGGGAAGAAAAGGAAACAAAGGGGUCAGAGCCAGCUGUAAGCAGCUCGGAAUGCAGCCUCUUCAGCUCCUCCUGGCAGGCAGGAGCGUCGAAGACAGCCGCACAAUGCCAGACGAAUACUCAUCUCUUCAAGCAGUCCGUGGCCACCCCACCGAAGGCAGAUAAAACACUUUCGACGGUAUCACGUUUUAUCUCCCCUUUGUGGGCCAAGGGAAUAAAACACAGUUGCCAAACACAAA